GCUUGCGUAUUAAGUUAAAGAAGAUUCUAGUUGUGGAAACAACCAAGAAAAAAAAAUGAGGAUGCACGAGUAAAUAGUUAAUAGUUAAUAAUUAACUAUAUUAAAAAAAAUCGAUCUCUUCUUUUUACCCCAAAAAAAAAAAUUGGUUCUCUUCUAGGGUUUCGCCUUUAGGCCUCUUUAAAACGAGACAUAAUUUCCACAGCUGCAGAUCUCCCUCUUAUCCGGCGAUGCUCGACAGGGAAGUUUUCGAGGUGUUAAACUGAUUCCCUCUGGACCACAGCAUUCACAAAACCAUCGCUCGAAGCAGUGGAGUGUUUCAUGGUGUGUUUGAACUUUCACAAUAAAAUGCAUUUGUAGUGUUGUUCCGUAAGGACUGUUUUACAGAAUACAGAGCAACACAGCAAAUGCAUUCUAAUGUGAGGUUUCUAGAUCCUAUGCUGAGUCGUAUAGAUGCAUUUGUGGUGUGGCUUGAAAUGACAUGUUCCAAAAAAGAACUUUGAAUAGCCUGAUAAAUAUAUUCCAGUGUGGAGGCCUCCAUGAUGCUUAGAUGUUGAGCAUGGCUACAAAUGGUUUUGAUUUUUGAGGUAACAAUGUUGCUGAAUUUCAUGAAUACCUGUGUCAUGGUAAGAAAUGAUGAAUUGGUUUUCAUUAUUAGAGUCUCGUUUUAUUUUAUUUUUUUCGAUAGCUUUUAUAGGAGUUUAAUUUUGAAGAUAGAAUGAUGUGGGUGUCUUAAAAAGGGGGAAAAUGAAUGUGUGCAUGCUUUGAGAUAUGAGCACCAGGGCAUGUACACGUUGACACGUUGUGAUGUUUGUGGUGAUCUUAACUAUUCAUGUCUGAUGCAUAGUUUGGCUUCCUACAAGUUUUUGGGAGAUAAUACAUUUAUGAAUCAUAAUUUGAUGGUAUUUGAAUCAUAAUCCAA